GACGAAGGUUAGCUCAGUCGGUAGAGCAUGAGGCUCUUAACCUCAGGGUCGUGGGUUCGAGCCCCUCACACGGGCCA